rnacentral:rRNA from 1 species
AUUGAACGCUGGCGGCAGGCCUAACACAUGCAAGUCGAACGAGUGGCGGACGGGUGAGUAAUGUCUGGGAAACUGCCUGAUGGAGGGGGAUAACUACUGGAAACGGUAGCUAAUACCGCAUACCAUCGGAUGUGCCCAGAUGUGAAUCGCUCGUAGCUGAGGUAAUGGCUCACCUAGGCGACGAUCCCUAGCUGGUCUGAGAGGACGACCAGCCACACUGGUGCUGAGAGACGGCCCAGACUCCUACGGGAGGCAGCAGUGGGGAAUUUUGGACAAGGGGGGAAACCCUGAUCCAGCCAUCCCGCGUGUAUGAUGAAGGCCUUCGGGUUGUAAAGUACUUUUGGCAGGGAAGCGGUAUCUGCAGAAUAAGCACCGGCUAACUACGUGCCAGCAGCCGCGGUAAUAC